rnacentral:rRNA from 1 species
UACGGAGGGGGUUAGCGUUGUUCGGAAUUACUGGGCGUAAAGCGCGCGUAGGCGGACUAGUAAGUCAGGGGUGAAAUCCCGGGGCUCAACCCCGGAACUGCCUUUGAUACUGCCAGUCUUGAGUUCGGAAGAGGUGAGUGGAAUUCCUAGUGUAGAGGUGAAAUUCAUAGAUAUUAGGAAGAACACCAGUGGCGAAGGCGGCUCACUGGUCCGAUACUGACGCUGAGGUGCGAAAGCGUGGGGAGCGAACAGGAUUAGACUACCCCGGUAGUCC